AAGACCUUACGCUUUUGGAGCGGCCGAUGUCUGAUUAGCUUGUUGGUGAGGUAAAGGCUUACCAAGGCUUCGAUCAGUAGCUGGUCUGAGAGGACGGCCAGCCACACUGGGACUGAGACACGGCCCAGACUCCUACGGGAGGCAGCAGUGGGGAAUUUUGGACAAUGGGGGCAACCCUGAUCCAGCCAUGCCGCGUGAGUGAAGAAGGCCUUCGGGUUGUAAAGCUCUUUCAGCCGGAACGAAACGGUUACGGUUAAUACCCGUGAUUACUGACGGUACCGGAAGAAGAAGCACCGACUAACUACGUGCCAGCAGCCGCGGUAAUACGUAGGGUGCGAGCGUUAAUCGGAAUUACUGGGCGUAAAGCGUGCGCAGGUGGUUUUGUAAGUCAGAUGUGAAAGCCCCGGGCUCAACCUGGGAACU
rnacentral:rRNA from 1 species